GACGAACGCUGGCGGCGUGCUUAACACAUGCAAGUCGAACGAAGUGGCGGACGGGUGAGUAACGCGUAAUCAACCUGCCCUUCAGAGGGGGACAACAGUUGGAAACGACUGCUACUCCCGCAUACUGAAGGAGGGGAUUGCGUCGGAUUUGCUUGUUGGAGGGGUAACGGCCCACCAAGGCGAUGAUCAGUAGCCUGUCUGAGAGGAUGAACGGCCACAGUGGGACUGGGACACGGCCCAGAAUCCUACGGGAGGCAGCAGUGGGGAAUCUUUCGAAAUGGACGAAAGUCUGACGGAGCAACGCCGCGUGAGUGAUGACGGCCUUCGGGGUGUAAAGCUCUGUUAAUCGGGACGCGGUACCGGAAUAGAAAGCCACGGCUAACUACGUGCCAGCAGCCGCGGUAAUAC
rnacentral:rRNA from 1 species